rnacentral:lncRNA from 1 species
AAGCCAUAAAUCAAUUGUUGGGUAUUGCUCAUUUUUGUGGUUUAUUCUUCAAAAUAUAGCCAAAGACAGUAGCAAUUUAGAGGAUUUUGUUUCUUGGCGAAUAGGUAUUUCCUUUUUUACACAUACAUUAACUUGCCGAGUGACAGUAUGUGAAAAUCAUUUCUGCUCUUUGAAUACUUGCAGGAUAUUCUAUCACUCUAACUGAUGGAAGUUCUUCAAGGAAGCUUUUCUCACAACUUACCUUUUUCUUCUAGCAAAGGGACCAUUUGGUCAUAACAAAGACAUUCCUGGGGAAGGAGUGAGAAGCAGAGCACAAUCGUCAAGUCUCUUUCUUUCAACCUGCUGAUAAACCACACUGCUGUUCCAACUCCUGCAAAUCCAGCUUUGCCAAGAACUUUGUGUGCUUUCCACAGCAGGUGGUCUUUCUUAAGUCAUUUUCCAGAGGAGAAGCCAGCUGCCCUCUCUUGACAUAGCCAUGUGAAGAUGCUCAAGUACUGAAGAUCCUAAGCCUGCCAAC